rnacentral:tRNA from 1 species
GCCCGGGUGGCGAAAUCGGUAUACGCAUGGGCCUUAAAAGCCCAAGGGAGGAAACUCCCGUGCAGGUUCGAGUCCUGCCCCGGGCA